rnacentral:rRNA from 1 species
UGGGGGAUAUUGCACAAUGGGCGCAAGCCUGAUGCAGCGACGCCGCGUGGGGGAUGAAGGCCUUCGGGUUGUAAACUUCUUUUGCUCUGAACAAGGCGCACUUUGGGGUGUGUUGAGUGUAGGGGUUGAUUAGCGCCGGCUAACUACGUGCCAGCAGCCGCGGUAAUACGUAGGGCGCGAGCGUUGUCCGGAAUUAUUGGGCGUAAAGGGCUUGUAGGUGGCUGGUUGCGUCUGUCGUGAAAGCUCAUGGCUUAACCGUGGGUUUGCGGUGGGUACGGGCUGGCUUGAGUGCAGUAGGGGAGGCUGGAAUUCCUGGUGUAGCGGUGGAAUGCGCAGAUAUCAGGAGGAAUACCGGUGGCGAAGGCGGGUCUCUGGGCUGUUACUGACACUGAGGAGCGAAAGCAUGGGGAGCGAACAGG